GGCCUGACCGCCAUGCUGACCGGUCGCAUGUCCCUGAGGCUCCAGCUAACUUUACCUCUAACCGACAGAAAGCAUGGGCUAACUGCUGACAGUUAGGCGGAAUAGCCUGCUGAAGUGUGCAGGAGCAUAAGCCUCAUACCUUUAUCUUCCAUAACCUGCUAUCACUCUUCUCAUAAAUAACACUGUCUUUAAUCGUUAUAGAUCUAGAUGUCUUGCAACACCGUUCUUCAAUUAUCAGAUUAAUACUAAAUAGGACCUUUGUGUGUUAUUUUUAUUUAACAUGAUGAGUUUAUUCUUAUCUAUCAGACUUAAGGUACUGUUUGAAUGCCAUUACAAUGUGUACUAACUGCAGAUUAACUCUAUCUUCACCAUAUUGUUAAGCUUUCAACAACAAUUUAAAAAUUAAAAAAAUUAAUGUUAAUAAUUGCCAUGGUGCUGUAUAAUCUGUAUUAUCUCACCGGCUUGUACUUGCUAUUGUGGCAAUACAAGCAUGUUUGUUAAAGCUAAGCACUGCAAAAAUAAAG